GCCAGCCGCCGCGGUAAUACGGCUGCUCGAGUGAUGGCCACUAUUACUGGGUUUAAAGCGUCCGUAGCUUGAUUGUUAGGUCUCUUGGGAAAUCUUCAGGCUUAACCUUAAGGCGUCUAAGAGAUACCGGCAAUCUUGGGACUGGGAGAGGUAAACCGUACUUCGGGGGUAGGAGUGAAAUCUUGUAAUCCUCGAGGGACGACCUAUGGCGAAGGCAGUUUACCAGAACAGCUUCGACAGUGAGGGACGAAAGCUGGGGGAGCAAACGGGAUUAGAUACCCCGGUAGUCCCAGCCGUAAACAAUGUGCGUUAGGUGUAUCGGCAACCACGCGUUACUGAUGCGCCGCAGAGAAAUCGUGAAACGCACCACCUGGGAAGUAUGGUCGCAAGGCUGAAACUUAAAGGAAUUGGCGGGGGAGCACCACAACAGGUGGAGCCUGCGGUUUAAUUGGAUUCAACGCCGGACAUCUCACCGGGUAAGACAGCUGUAUGAUUGUCAAUCUGAAGGUUUUACAUGACUAGCUGAGAGGAGGUGCAUGGCCGUCGUCAGUUCGUACUGUGAAGCAUCCUGUUAAGUCAGGCAACGAGCGAGACCCACGCCAACAAUUGCCAGCAGCAUCUCCGGAUGGCUGGGGACAUUGUUGGGACCGCCUCUGCUAAAGGGGAGGAAGGAAUGGGCAACGGUAGGUCAGCAUGCCCCGAAUUACUCGGGCUACACGCGGGCUACAAUGGAUGGGACAAUGGGUAACACCACCGAAAGGUGUCGUCAAUCUCCUAACCCCACCCUUAGUUAGGAUUGCGGGUUGCAACUCACCCGCAUGAAUCUGGAAUCUGUAGUAAUCGCGUUUCACUAUAGCGCGGUGAAUACGUCCCUGCUCCUUGCACACACCGCCCGU
rnacentral:rRNA from 1 species